rnacentral:rRNA from 1 species
CCUACGGGUGGCUGCAGUGAGGAAUAUUGGUCAAUGGACGGAAGUCUGAACCAGCCAUGCCGCGUGCAGGAAGACGGCUCUAGGAGUUGUAAACUGCUUUUGUACAAGGGUAAAUCUGAAUACGUGUAUUCAGCUGAAAGUACUGUACGAAUACGGAACGGCUAACUCCGUGCCAGCAGCCGCGGUAAUACGGAGGCUCCAAGCGUUAUCCGGAUUUAUUGGGUUUAAAGGGUGCGUAGGCGGAAUGAUAAGUUAGAGGUGAAAUGUGCGAGCUUAACUCGGGAACUGCCUCUAAUACUGUUGAUCUAGAGAGUGGAUGCGGUAGGCGGAAUGUAUGGUGUAGCGGUGAAAUGCUUAGAGAUCAAACAGAACACCGAUUGCGAAGGCAGCUUACCAAUCUAUAACUGACGUUGAGGCACGAAAGCGUGGGGAGCAAACAGGAUUAGAUACCCUGGUAGUC